CCGCCGCUGGACAAGGUCCUUUCAGCCCGGAGCGCCCGGGCCGAGCCCUGUCGUGUCGUGGGGGCGCCAGGGUAGUGCAGGAGGCAGGAGAACAAAGAGCUCAGGCGUGAGGCAAGACCAGCAUCAAGACGUGCGAUCGAUUCAUCCAAGGCUCCCCGGCGACCCGUCUCAGCCCAGAGGGGCUUGGCGUGGCCUGCCCCGCCGGGGGAUGCCGAGCAUGAAAGGCAAAACCUGGGACCCAAAGAGGAACGUGGCUGCACGGGGACCGUCGUCGUCGUCGGGCAUCCCCUGCCGAGUCCCGUAAUAAAUAGUCCUCUCGUGAUGGAA